rnacentral:rRNA from 1 species
UCCUGUACCGAUGUGUAGUGCGAUGUGGGGACGGAGAAGGUUAACUCAGCCAACUGUUGGAUAUGUUGGUUCAAGCUUGUAGUCGUGCCUGGUAGGUAAAUCCGCCGGGCUUAGAUGAGGAGUGAUAACGAGGCUGCUUGCAGCCGAAGUGAGUGAUACCCUGCUUCCAGGAAAAGCCACUAAGCUUCAGCUACACACGACCGUACCGCAAACCGACACUGGUGCGCGAGAUGAGUAUUCUAAGGCGCUUGAGAGAACUCAGGAGAAGGAACUCGGCAAAUUGACACCGUAACUUCGGAAGAAGGUGUGCCUUUAGUAGGUGAAGGGAUUUACUCCUGGAGCCCAAUGAGGCUGCAAAAAAUCGGUGGCCGCGACUGUUUAUUAAAAACACAGCACUCUGCAAACACGAAAGUGGACGUAUAGGGUGUGACGCCUGCCCGGUGCUGGAAGAUUAAAUGAUGGGGUGCAAGCUCUUGAUUGAAGUCCCAGUAAACGGCGGCCGUAACCAUAACGGUCCUAAGGUAGCGAAAUUCCUUGUCGGGUAAGUUCCGACCUGCACGAAUGGCGUAACGAUGGCCACACUGUCUCCUCCUGAGACUCAGCGAAGUUGAAAUGUUUGUGAUGAUGCAAUCUCCCCGCGGAAAGACGGAAAGACCCCAUGAACCUUUACUGUAGCUUUGUAUUGGACUUUGAACAGAUCUGUGUAGGAUAGGUGGGAGGCUUUGAAGUAGGGUCGUUAGAUCUUAUGGAGCCAACGUUGAAAUACCACCCUGGUGUGUUUGAGGCUCUAACCUAGGUCCAUUAUCUGGAUCGGGGACAGUGCAUGGUAGGCAGUUUGACUGGGGCGGUCUCCUCUCAAAGCGUAACGGAGGAGUUCGAAGGUACGCUAGUUACGGUCGGACAUCGUGACGAUAGUGCAAUGGCAUAAGCGUGCUUAACUGCGAGACUGACAAGUCGAGCAGAUGCGAAAGCAGGACAUAGUGAUCCGGUGGUUCUGUAUGGAAGGGCCAUCGCUCAACGGAUAAAAGGUACUCUGGGGAUAACAGGCUGAUACCGCCCAAGAGUUCAUAUCGACGGCGGUGUUUGGCACCUCGAUGUCGGCUCAUCUCAUCCUGGGGCUGUAGCCGGUCCCAAGGGUAUGGCUGUUCGCCAUUUAAAGAGGUACGUGAGCUGGGUUUAAAACGUCGUGAGACAGUUUGGUCCCUAUCUUCCGUGGGCGCUGCAGAUUUGAGGAAGCCUGCUCCUAGUACGAGAGGACCGGAGUGGACACACCUCUGGUGUAUCGGUUGUCACGCCAGUGGCAUUGCCGAGUAGCUAAGUGUGGAAGAGAUAACCGCUGAAAGCAUCUAAGCGGGAAACUCGUUUCAAGAUGAGAUCUGCCGGGGCCUUGAGCCCCCUAAAGAGUCGUUCAAGACCAGGACGUUGAUAGGUCAGGUGUGGAAGCGCAGUAAUGCGUUAAGCUAACUGAUACUAAUUGCU